UUGCACUCACUCUGUCCUGCCACCCUGUGAAGAAGGUGCCUGCUUCUCCUUUGCCUUCCAGCAUGAUUAUGACAGUGAGGGCCCUGGAGAAUGACAGAUUUACAAGAUGGAGACAACCUGGAUCCCUGAGUGACUGCAUGGAGGAUAGCACCCCCACCAACUUGAGUACCCUGAUUUCUUGUUACCUGUGCGAGAAAUAACAUUCCAUCAUUAGAGUCAUUAAACAUUUGAGUCUAUUUGUUACGGUGGCUCGGUCUAUCCUAAAGGACACACUGCUCUACUUAACUUCAGGAACGGGAUAAUGAAUACUCAAUAAUGAGGAGCCCCUUAUAUAUUUCAGCAAGAUAUUUAUUACUUCAUGUAGACUACACUAUUACUUUGUGUAGACAAGGCUGAGAAACAAGGAUGGUUGCUGACCUAGGUCAGAGAAGUAGUACUGACUGAAAAACCAAACCUAAAGGUUAAUGAAUCACUGUCCAACCAUAUAUAUUCCUUUGGGCUUUAUUAUCAGUUCUGUCCUUUUCAACAUUUGUAGUAAUGACUUGGAUGAAUAUAAAGAAUGCUCACUUCCCAAGCUUGCAAAAUCCACCCUGGAUUGGACAAUCGUGAUUCACAAAUAUCUUGGCGUUUUAUUUGCAUUGUGUUGUUGUAUCCUAACAACUAUGGAGAGAAUAAUGAAUAAAAACUUUGACCCAAUGGGCAGGGGACAGAAGCUUGGCUUUAAAAGGGAAAGGUGAUUGCGCCACUGCACUCCAGCCUGGGCGACAGAGCAAGACUCCGUCUCAAAAAAAAAGGGAAAGGUGGUGCACAAAACUGAAGAUGGUAAAGAUCACUGGAGUAAACUGUAAGGUCCUGAGCUUAGUUUGAAAUAAAUUAGAACAAGAUAGAGAAGACAUGGCUUAAAGCAGCACAUUUUUUAAAAGUUAGACAUUUUAGAACGCAUUUCUACAAGCAUUGUGCCUAUAAUAAAAAGGUGAUAAUCUCGUGUUUUUCUGCCUGUGAGGGGGGACCUCCCUCUUGAUAUUUUGUUGUCAAAUGCUACACAAUACAUGAAAUGUGCUCAGAGGAGAGUGCUCAGAACUGAGAAGCCUCAGGAAGAUGGAUUUGGGGUGUGUGUGUGUGUGUGUGUAUGUGUGUGUGUGUGUGUGUAUGUCUGUGUGUUUUAAUAGAGACAGGGUCUUACUCUGUUACUCAGGCUGGAGUCCAGUGAUGUGAUCACAAUUCACUGUAAACUCUAAUUCUUGGACUCAAGCGAUCCUCCUGCCUCGGCCUCCUGAGUAGGUAGGACUACGGGAAUGUGCCACCAAUUUUUUUUGUAGUGACAAGGGUCUUCCUAUGUUGCCUAGACUGGUCUUGAACUCUUGGCUUCAAAUGAUCCUCCUGUUUCAGCCUCCCAAAGCAUUGGGCUUACAGACGUGAGCCACUGCACCUGGACAAAUUUUUUAAAACAUUCUAUUGGGUAAAUCUGUUCAAUUGUUAAUUGGGCUGCCUCAAUAAGCAGUGAAUGCCCCAUCUCUGGAAGUGUUUGAAUAAAUUUGCAUAUAAAAUUACUGUUAUUCAGUCAUUUUAAUCUACAAGAAUGGCAAUUUCAUAUGGUUCAACCUAAUAUUUGGUGGAAAAGGUAGAGGAUGAGUCAAGCAAUUGAUAUUUUAAGAGCAAGUGACAGAAGCACAUCUCAAACUGACUUCACCAAAGGGAAGGAGAGGUAUUUAUUAGUGGAGUGGAAAGCAUAUUGGCUCGUGUAACUGAAAAGCUCAAGUAAAUUUAGCUUCGGGUAUGGUUACAUCCAGCAGUCUCUCUCUGUCUCUGCCCUGUCCUCCUCUGUGUUGGCUCCCUUCCCAGACACACCUGCCCCUUGUGCUAAGCAGCUGGGCACUAGCGGCUCCAGGCUUAUGUUAAAGCAGCUUAACAACCCCAGCUAAGAGUCUCUCCUCACCAAUAAUUCCUGGGACUAACUCUUAUUGAACUGAGUUGGCUCAUACACUCCUCUCUGAAUCAAUAACUAAGCCCUCAGUUAUUGACUCAGGGGCAGGGAGUAAAAUUACUAAUUGGCUUCGCCUCAAUUACAAGUUGCCCUGGAGUCCAGAGGAGAGUGGGGUGAGAAAAGAGGAUGUUCAGCCACAUGGGCUGAAAGUAAAGAGAGGGUGGCUUUCCAAUGGAAAACUGAGGUGCU
rnacentral:lncRNA from 1 species